rnacentral:rRNA from 1 species
UACGAAGGGGGCUAGCGUUGCUCGGAAUCACUGGGCGUAAAGGGUGCGUAGGCGGGUCUUUAAGUCAGGGGUGAAAUCCUGGAGCUCAACUCCAGAACUGCCUUUGAUACUGAGGAUCUUGAGUCCGGGAGAGGUGAGUGGAACUGCGAGUGUAGAGGUGAAAUUCGUAGAUAUUCGCAAGAACACCAGUGGCGAAGGCGGCUCACUGGCCCGGAACUGACGCUGAGACGCGAAAGCGUGGGGAGCAAACAGG